UAAGGCCCUGUUCCGCUAAGAGAAAUAAAUGUCUAUUUUUUUGAAUUAAAUGUGAUGUAUUGCGAGAGAAUGAUCUGUCUCGUAAAACGAAAAAAAGUACUUAAGAAAUAAGAACAUCAAUGGAACGAGACCUAAGUGCAUGAACCUCAUAAAAAUGAGUGAUUGAAAAAGGUGUAAGGGCACCAAGACCACGGAAUAAAUACUUCGUGUAUAAGCCAGUCAUUCUAAGCACAAACGACACAACCAAAACAACAAAAGAAGUCUCGGUAUUCUUAUCCACCGCAUCACCACCAAAGCAAUUUGGAUUCAGGCGGGCAAUUCAACAAUCAUCCGAUGAUAUCAAAGUGCAAAAGCACCAACCCUGACGACAGUCCGUGGGUUUAAGAUUGUUAAUGGGACCGAUUCGCAAACCGGAAUUCUGGUUCCAUUCUGAUUCGCAUCGUUUCACCAACCCGAUACAUGUGUUGAGUAGAUUAUAGGUUCCACUAGUUACCACCUUAUGAAUUGUAUUAUAGAAAGGAUUCAAGACCUGGUUCAGCUACCUGAGCAAAAAAGAAAUAUUGUCGUAGUUUUUUUUUUGAUCGGCCAAUAUUGUUGUGGUCUUUAAAAUGUAAUAUAUACUACGGAGUAUUAAUUAAUCGCGUUGAGUACACUUUGAUGGGAACACAGAGAAUCGGAACAGCAAUGGAGGUAUUGGAGUUAUCAUCUGAAGGUUUAUGCAGCCCAAAAUGGGUUGGAUUACUGGUAUCAACAACCGGUCAGCUAGAGAGGGAUUACUGGUAUCAACAACAGGUCUGCUAGAGAGGGAUUACUGGUAUCAACAACCGGCCAGCUAGAGAGGGAUUACUGGUAUCAACAACCGGUCUGCUAGAGAGGGUUUGAUUUGAACCUGGCAAUUGAUCUGGGAUUGAAAGAUGUGGAAUUGGAGGCUGGAGGACAAAUUGAGAAGCUAAAUUUUGUCCACCGUAAUUCUAGAAGGAGCUGCAGAGAUGCGUGUUGCGCGAGGUGUGCGAUCUGGGACGUAACUUGGGAAGCCUACCCUUCUUUGUGUUUGUUUCCUGCGUUGCAAAAAGAUAGUUGCUUGUUUUUGUUGAAUUCUUGUAUCAUCAAUAAAAUCCAUCUACGACCCAAAAAGGACACAACACCUCAAUAAGAGUAUGACUUAUGUACUUCUAACAUUUUAGUUGCA